rnacentral:RNase_P_RNA from 1 species
CAAGUAAGUCAGACGGCCGCGGGGGUGAGCCGAAAGGCUCCCUCUGAGGAAAGUCCGGGCUCCGCAGGGCAAGGAUAACGGGUAACGCCCGCCGAAGGCGACUUCAGGACAAGUGCAACAGAGAUAUACCGCCUCGACUAACCCAUACCCGCGUGCGCGCCCGUUAUAACGGGCCUCGCGCGGAGGAUGGGAAGCGGCCUCGUGUGUCAAGCGCCGACAUUUAUGUAUGCGUGAGAGCCGCGAGACCCGCGGCGAGGUAAGGGUGGAAAGGCGAGGUAAGAGCUCACCCGGGGGUAUGGCGACAUAUCCCCCGCUGUAAACUCUAUCCGGAGCAACACCGUGACAGGGGGGCAUACGGCUUGCCCGGCCGCUCCCCAGAGGUGGCAUGAGCCGUCCGGCGACGGACGGCCAAGAUAGAUGGCUGUCCAACGACAGAAUCCGGCUUACCGACUUACUUGCAUG